rnacentral:rRNA from 1 species
UACGUAGGGUGCAAGCGUUGUCCGGAAUUAUUGGGCGUAAAGAGCGUGUAGGCGGCUAGGUAGGUCCGUUGUGAAAACUCGAGGCUCAACCUCGAGACGCCGGUGGAAACCAUCUAGCUAGAGUCCGGAAGAGGAGAGUGGAAUUCCUGGUGUAGCGGUGAAAUGCGCAGAUAUCAGGAAGAACACCCGUGGCGAAGGCGGCUCUCUGGGACGUGACUGACGCUGAGACGCGAAAGCGUGGGGAGCGAACAGG